GACGAACGCUGGCGGCGUGCCUAAUACAUGCAAGUAGAACGCUGAAGGAGGAGCUUGCUUCUCUGGAUGAGUUGCGAACGGGUGAGUAACGCGUAGGUAACCUGCCUGGUAGCGGGGGAUAACUAUUGGAAACGAUAGCUAAUACCGCAUAAUAGUAGAUGUUGCAUGACAUUUGCUUAAAAGGUGCAAUUGCAUCACUACCAGAUGGACCUGCGUUGUAUUAGCUAGUUGGUGGGGUAACGGCUCACCAAGGCGACGAUACCUAGCCGACCUGAGAGGGGGAUCGGCCCCAAUGGGACUGGGAAACGGGCCAGGAUCCUACGGGAGGCAGCAGUAGGGAAUCUUCGGCAAUGGACGGAAGUCUGACCGAGCAACCGCGGGUGAGUGAAGAAGGUUUUCGGAUCGUAAAGCUCUGUUGUAAGAGAAGAACGAGUGUGAGAGUUGAAAGUUCACGCUGUGACGGUAUCUUACCAGAAAGGGACGGCUAACUACGUG
rnacentral:rRNA from 1 species